UGGUGUUUUUUUAUGUCUCUUUUUUCCUGUACAACUGAACUAGUACUAGUGUUGUGUACCCCUCUCUUCCCCUCCAUCAUCAUCUUCAUUCCCCCAAUAAUCUCUCCUUCAUUUUCGCCUUUCACAGGCGCCACCAGUUCCUAACCCAUCCAAAGGCUUUUAGAUCUGUUGUGCAAAACCCCCAAAAAAUAAAAAUGAAUAAGUGCGCUUAUCAGCAAACGGCCAUGGUGGGUUUUGUUGGCGCUGGUGAAAUUAGACGAGGAGAUUUCUCUGUGUCUCAUGGCGUUGUUUGCCCUAAACCCAUCAGACCUUCUCGAUUCCUGCAAAUCAAUAAUCGGCAACCGGACGCUUGCGACUCGAAAGCCGGAACUGAACUUCUCGAUAUCAUCCUCAACAAGGGGAGCUAUGAUGUGGAAACAACCAAUUUUGAGAUGAGUUCAUCGCCACCAUUCUUUUUUGGGUCUCCGCCCGCCAGGGCUUCGAAUCCCCUGAUUCAGGAUGCCCAAUUCGGCAACGACAGUUUUGUUCCCAUACUAGCAAUUCCAGAAGGAGCAGCAGCUGCAGCACCUUCACCACCACCUUCCUUUACUUCCGGAAUCGGUCGUAAUAAUGGAGCCGGCUGUGUUCCAGUGAAGUUUGGGCUUAAGCCCGCUGCUGUGAGGAUUGAAGGCUUCAAUUGCUGCAGCAGCAUCUCUGCUGUAGCUUAGGUAAAUCAUGUCGCAGAGAUGAAGAAAAAAUAACUGCAACAAGGAAAAAUAUAUAAAAAGUGAGGUUUUUGGGGAGAGAAAGAUGCAUUUAAUUGCGUUAUUAUUGCCACCACAUCACUAUGUGUGUGUGAUUCUGCCCGAGGAUCUUGAAGUUAUCCUAUAGCUAUCAAUGACUUGAGCCGUGGCAUUCCCAGUGUCUUCGAUCUAAUGGAGUCAAUGUAUGGUCCUCGGAGUUGCUAACCCAUCUAUGUCCAGCUGAUAUCAAGGGUGCCGUGGGUGCUGAAAUUGUGCAGUCACAUUGUGGGAACUUUUAUAUGCCUCUUGUUGAUGAAGUGCAGACUUUCAGAAUUCAGGUUCAAAGUUUAUAUAGCUGAAUAAUUGAACAGGGGAUGCUGGCAAUUAUUUACAUAUGAUACGAUGAGUUUCUACAAUCUGGAGCUGAACAAUGCUAAUAUGGUUCAUCACACAACAUAUGGGAUGGUUUUCGUAUCAGAUGAUUAGGAGAAUUGCUCCAAGCAAAGGAUUGUCUGUGGCAGGAUUCGAAUGGCUCCAACCAAAAGCAUUUCAAGUUUCCCAUGAAAGAUCAGCUGGGGAAUAGUCAUGCUAUUUAAUGCACUAUCAUGUGUAGACUAGUACUGCUGUUUGGCUUUUGCCUGUGCUGCCAACACCUAUAAAAACAUCGUUUACCUUACACUUGGCUAUAACCCUAUAUCUUAGUAAUUGCUUUAUAUUUGUAAAGAUUUUGAUAGCUGGAAAUUGAUUUCAUGCAAAUGGACUUGAAACUCAA